GUGUCAGCAGCCGCGGUAAUACGGAGGGAGCUAGCGUUGUUCGGAAUUACUGGGCGUAAAGCGCGCGUAGGCGGCUACUCAAGUCAGAGGUGAAAGCCCGGGGCUACCCCGGAACUGCCUUUGAAACUAGGUAGCUAGAAUCCUGGAGAGGUCAGUGGAAUUCCGAGUGUAGAGGUGAAAUUCGUAGAUAUUCGGAAGAACACCAGUGGCGAAGGCGACUGACUGGACAAGUAUUGACGCUGAGGUGCGAAAGCGUGGGGAGCAAACAGGAUUAGAUACCCUGUAGUCCACGCCGUAAACGAUGAUAACUAGCUGUCCGGGCACAUGGUGCUUGGGUGGCGCAGCUAACGCAUUAAGUUAUCCGCCUGGGGAGUACGGUCGCAAGAUUAAAACUCAAAGGAAUUGACGGGG
rnacentral:rRNA from 1 species